rnacentral:rRNA from 1 species
AUGCGGACGACCCCUUACGACAUCAUAGUCGUCAUGACCAAUAAUUGGAAUUAUCCUAUCAUCUUGAUCCGGCCAGGGAAAGGUGUGUGGUUGCCUAAGCCACAAAGUGCUCCCUUCAUCUACAUCGUCGACACUGCAUUUCUUGGAGACAAGCUAUAUGGAAUCACUCACGCCGAGGAUCUUGUCUCUUUUGGUAUAGAUUUCGACAACAAAGGCGUACCCACCAUCACAACUAUCGAGCGCCUCAUCAGGCACCCACCGGGAAAUUAUUGGUUCAACGUGUGGAGCGAUGAUAAUGGAAAUUUUGACUCCACGAACAAUGAUACGCGAAAUAUAGAUGAGGUCGCCGAUAAUGAGGAACAGAGCAAAGAGGACACCAUAGAGCAACGCCGGAAGAAAACCGGCGAUGACAUGAUUCUUGAAGGCGUUACUCCUUGGUGGGAUGAUGAGGAUGAAGUUAGGGACCACUGGUACUUAGUCGAGUCAUGUGGAAAACUAUUAAUGGUGAUACGACAAGUUCGAGUGCCCCCCUAUAAUAUCAGCUUCACUCUCAAGGUAGAGGUUUAUGAGGCAGAUGCCUGCAAAGGUGCCCACUGCUGGGUGCCGAUUGUUGGUGGGCUAGGCAGCCAAACGCUUUUCAUCAGCAGAUUCUUCUGCAAGUCUAUUUCAACUUGUGAUGAGGCGGACCAAGAUGCUAUUCAUUUUAUCGACACGGGGGAGAAAUACAACAUGAAGUCACAAACUAUGAGCAAGAUAUGGAGGGACAUUGAAUACUUUGAGUCCAUGUGGAUCUUUUCUCCCGAGCUAGUGGUUUAA